rnacentral:rRNA from 1 species
AAUGAACGCUGGCGGCGCGCUUAACACAUGCAAGUCGAACGAGAAAGUUCCUUCGGGAAUGAGUAAAGUGGCAAACGGGUGAGAAACGCGUGGGUAUCUACCCCUGGGUGAAGGAUACCUCCGGGAAACUGGAGUUAAUCCUGCAUAUACUCUUCGGAGAAAAGGUGGCCUCUUUGCUACCGCCAAGGGAUGAGCCUGCGUCCUAUUAGCUAGUUGGUGAGGUAAUGGCUCACCAAGGCUGUGAUGGGUAGCCGGCCUGAGAGGGUGACCGGCCACAUUGGGACUGAGAUACGGCCCAGACUCCUACGGGUGGCAG